GUAGGGAAUAUUGGGCAAUGGAUGCAAGUCUGACCCAGCCAUCCCGCGUGCCGGAAGAAGGCCCUCAGGGUUGUAAACGGCUUUUGACGGUGAAGAAUCGACAGGAUGCGUCCUGUUUUGACGGUAGCCGUUGAAUAAGCACCGGCUAACUCCGUGCCAGCAGCCGCGGUAAUACGGAGGGUGCGAGCGUUGUCCGGAUUUAUUGGGUUUAAAGGGUGCGUAGGCUGGAAGGUCAGUCAGCGGUGAAAAGCUGUCGCUUAACGAUAGUCUUGCCGCAGAUACUUCCUUACUUGGAUGAGGAGGAGGCCACUGGAACGGAUGGUGUAGCGGUGAAAUGCAUAGAUAUCAUCCAGAACACCGAUUGCGAAGGCAGGUGGCUGUACCUUAAUCGACGCUGAUGCACGAAAGCAUGGGGAGCAAACAGGAUUAGAAACCCGUGUAGUCC
rnacentral:rRNA from 1 species